AGAUGCAUACGGCCUUUGCGUUGUUGUCCAUAUGAUGUUGCAUAAUUGCUAUAUGGAGAUUGCCAAAGAAGAAUCAUCUGAUGGAGGCUACAUGUAUCUUCCCAAACAACGCUUUAAACGUUACUGGAACGUUGCGCUCUGGAAGAAUUUCUUCACCAAGAUGUUAAAUCAAUACCCUGGCAAUGAUGAUAGAAGGUUGCUGCAGGAGUUGAAGAAGUCCUUCCAGGACUAUAUAAGUUCCGAUCCAAAGAUGAUAAAGACACUAAGGGAGUUACUUGCAAAGCAAAGGACUUCUAUGUGUUGUGCUUAGAGUUUCAAAAUUCCUUUCUGAACCUGUUUCGUUUUACUUAACUGUCUUCAGCUGCAGGAGGCUAUAUAUAUAUGUGUAUGUAUAUUUGAAGGAAUAUAGAAACAAAUGCCAAAUGCAAGCAAUCCCAGACAGGUUCGGAAGGUGAACAUCGAUUCAUUUUUCUUCUGAUUCUGAUUUUGCAUGCUAACAACUGCUCUUUAAUGCACUUAUCCACUUACAUUUGCCUCUUUAAUGCUAAUAUUUAUAUUUAUUGUCCUUUGUAGUUUGAGUUGUCUGAAUUUGACUUUUCAAGUACUCAUGUAGAUACAUGGAUGAACUGAGUGCUGUUAGCACUUAGCAGGUCUAAUGUUGUAUAUGAUAAUUGUUUGUUGUAAUUGGGUGUGAACUUUGUAAUAUCUAAAUAGUUUUCCUUGUUUA